UUGUCCCAGGCUUCGAUUCCUGGGGAUUCCAACCCAGCACAUGUGGUACCCGAGCAGCUCUAGGAAACAGACCCUAAGGGCAGGAAUCUGGAGUUGGAUCCCUCGCCAGCCCGAUGGCCAUGAGGAACCCAUCACCGGUAACAGGGGCAUCCCUGGCAUGCUGUAACAGUGCAAUUGCUAAGAGUCUCAUCUGUGUUCACUGAGGCAAUAUAUAGGUGAAAGGGCGAUUCACUUACCUGUGCAACGUUUCUGAAGUUUGAGAGGUGCUAUGGGCUGAAUGUUUGUAUCGGCCCAAAUUCAUACAUUGAAGACUGAAUCCCCAGAGGGAUAAUAUUAGGAGGUGAGGCCUUGGGGAGAUACUUAGGUUUAGAUGAGGUCAUGAGGGCGGGGCUGUCUUGAUGGAAUUAGUGCCCUUAUAAAAAAGAAAUAUGAGGGAAAUGAUCUCUCUCUGCCUUGUAAGGAUACAGUCAGAGGGCAUCUGUCUGCAGACCAGGAGGAGAGCCCUCACCAGGAACCAAAUCAGCUGGCACCUUGACCUUGAACUUCCCAGCCUCUAUAACUGUGAGAAAUAGAUUUCUGGCUUUUUUUUUCUUUCUCCUAACUAAAUUUUAACUAGACUGGAGUGCAAUGGUGCGAUCUUGGCUCACUGGAACCUCCACCUCCUGGGCUCAAGCGAUUCUCCAGCCACAGCCCAAACUGACUAAAACAAGAGAUAUAGGAGAAACAGUAAUGGUAAGAUCUGUGGAACUGAGAGGCUGUUGCUAAACACCAUAGAUCAGAGGUUCCCAACCUUUUUGUCACCAGGGACCAGUUUCACAGAAGACAAUUUUUCCAUGGACUGUGGUGGCAGGGGAUGGUUUUGGGAUGAAACUGUUCAACUUUAGAUCAUCCCUCAUUAGUUAGAUUCUUAUAAGGAACGCGCAACCUAGAUCCCUCGCAUGCACACUUCACAGUAGGGUUCAUGCUCCUAUGAGAAUCUGAUGCCGCUG
rnacentral:lncRNA from 1 species